GAUGAACGCUAGCUACAGGCUUAACACAUGCAAGUCGAGGGGCAGCAUGAACUUAGCUUGCUAAGUUUGAUGGCGACCGGCGCACGGGUGAGUAACACGUAUCCAACCUUCCGUUUACUCAGGGAUAGCCUUUCGAAAGAAAGAUUAAUACCUGAUAGUAUGGUGAGAUUGCAUGAUAGCACCAUUAAAGGAUUCCGGUAAAGGAUGGGGAUGCGUUCCAUUAGGCAGUUGGCGGGGUAACGGCCCACCAAACCUACGAUGGAUAGGGGUUCUGAGAGGAAGGUCCCCCACAUUGGAACUGAGACACGGUCCAAACUCCUACGGGAGGCAGCAGUGGGGAAUAUUGGUCAAUGGGCGAGAGCCUGAACCAGCCAAGUAGCGUGAAGGAUGACUGCCCUAUGGGUUGUAAACUUCUUUUAUAAAGGAAUAGAGUCGGGUAUGGAUACCCGUUUGCAUGUACUUUAUGAAUAAGGAUCGGCUAACUCCGUG
rnacentral:rRNA from 1 species